rnacentral:rRNA from 1 species
GAUGAACGCUGGCGGCGUGCUUAACACAUGCAAGUCGAACGAAGCAUUUAAGACAGAUUACUUCGGAUUGAAGUCGUUUAUGACUGAGUGGCGGACGGGUGAGUAACGCGUGGGUAACCUGCCUCAUACAGGGGGAUAGCAGCUGGAAACGGCAGGAAAUACCGCAUAAGCGCACAGUACCACAUGGGACAGUGCGAAAAACUCCGGUGGUAUGAGAUGGACCCGCGUCUGAUGAGCUUGUUGGCGGGGUAACGGCCCACCAAGGCGACGAUCAGUAGCCGACCUGAGAGGGUGGCCCGCCACAUUGGGACUGAGCCACGGCCCAGACUCCUACGCGAGGCAGCAGUGGGGAAUAUUGCACAAUGGAGGAAACUCUGAUGCAGCGACGCCGCGUGAGUGAAGAAGUAGUUCGCUAUGUAAAGCUCUAUCAGCAGGGCAGAUAGUGACGGUACCUGACCAGGAAGCUCCGGCUAACUACGUG